ACAUGAUGGGUGACAGCUUCAUCAGCAUUGAGUCUUCUGGCAGACUUCUCAACAUUCCUACCAUUCAAAGGAAUGGCGGCAUUCCUUGCAGCAAUCGCCGGGAAGUCAACGCUACCAAACUGGAUGGUAGCUCCAGCAUUUCCAGUCUCAAUAACAGCAUUAGCCAACUGAAUCCUGGCUCCUCGUCCCAGCUGGACGGUCAUCGGCGUGUUCUAUAGAUCCAUCUGCAUAAAUGAAAGGCAAGGGUUAGUAAUCAGAAUCUGAUACAUCACCCCGCACUUUCAAAAUGCAGAGACUUGCACAGAACACAAAAACACAA